rnacentral:rRNA from 1 species
AUGGCUCCCUCAAUCGUCGAUAGGGACGCUGUCCAAGGAGAAACCUUCCUCCCCGGACUGAUUUUUGUGUUCGGCGGCUCCGUACUGCGGGCCAACUCGCUUGGCCAUCUGGAGCAAGUCGAUAGCUACACCCCUGGCCAUCAGGUCAGAUUUGGAAGCUUGAACUACAUCACGGAUACCCGUGGAGACUUGUUCUUCAGUGGGUUUGAGACCGCGGCGAUUGCUCUCCCUCGCCCCGAUGAACAUGACUUAGAUCUGUCAUCGGAUCACAUCCAGGAGAUGGUUCCUGUUGCUGCAACGGCCCUAUAA